GGUUUCGAUCAUGGCUCAGAUUGAACGCUGGCGGGAUGCUUGGCUUACGCAAGUCGAACGGCAGCACGGACUUCGGUCUGGUGGCGAGUAUGAACGGGUGAGUAAUGUAUCGGAAAUCGCGCUUAGUAGCGUGGGGAUAACUACGCGAAAGCGUAGCUAAUACCGUAUACGCCUUCGGGGGAAAGCGGGGGACCUUCGGGCCUCGCACUAUUAGGAGCGGGCCGAUAUCGGAUUAGCCAGUUAGGUAACGGCUCACCAAGGCGACGAUCCGUAGCUGGUUUGAGAGGACGAAUUCAGCCACACUGGGACUGAGACACGGCCCAGACUCCUACGGGAGGCAGCAGUGGGAAUUUUGACCGGGGAAACUCGAUCCAGCCAUCCCGCGUGUGCGAUGAAGGCCUUCGGCCAAAGCACUUUUUGGCAGGAAAGAAACGGCACGGGAUAAUACCCCGUGCAACUGACGGUACCCGCAGAAUAAGCACCGGCUAACCAUACGCCAGCAGCCGCGGUAAUAAUACUUAGGCAAGCGUUAAUCGGAACUAUUGGCGUAAGCGUGCGCAGGCGGUUCGGAAAGAAAGAUGUGAAAUCCCAGAGCUUAACUUUGGAACCGCAUUUUUAACUACCGAGCUAGAGUGUGUCAGAGGGAGGUGGACCGCGUGUAGCAGUAAAUGUGGGACAGUGUGAGGAACACCGAUGGCGAAGGCAGCCUCCGGAUAACACUGACGCUCAUGCACGAAAGCGUGGGGAGCAAACACAGGAUUAGAUACCCUGGUAGUCCACGCCCUAAACGAUGUCAACUAGCUGUUAGCCUUCGGGCCUGUAGCGCAGCUACGUGAAGUUGACCGCCUGGGGAGUACGGUCGCAAGAUUAAAACUCAAAGGAAUUGACGGGACCCGCACAAGCGGUGGAUGAUGUGGAUUAAUCGAUGCAACGCGAAAAACCUUACCUACCUUGAUAUGUUCAAUCCUGAAGAGAUUUGGAGUGCUCGCAAGAGAACCGGAACAGGUGCUGCAUGGCUGUCGUCAGCUCGUGUCGUGAGAUGUUGGGUUAAGUCCUGGCAACGACGCAACCCUUGGUCAUUAGUUGCUACGAAAGGGCACUCUGAAUGAGACUGCCGGUGACAAACCGGAGGAAGGUGGGGAUGACGUCAAGUCCUCAUGGCCCUUAUGGGUAGGGCUUCACAUGCCAUACAAUGGUCGGGACAGAGGGUCGCCAACCCGCGAGGGGGAGCCAAUCCCAGAAACCCGAUCGUAGUCCGGAUCGCAGUCUGCAACUCGACCGCGUGAAGUCGGAAUCGCUAGUAAUCGCGGAUCAGCAUCGCGGUGAAUACGUUCCCGGGUCUUGUACACACCGCCCGUCACACCAUGGGAGUGGGUUUCAUCAGAAGUAGUUAGCCUAACCGUAAGGAGGGCGAUUACCACGGUAGGAUUCAUGACUGGGGUGAAGUCGUAAUACAGUA
rnacentral:rRNA from 1 species